UUAAAAAAGCGUUAAAGCUUUAUUAUUUUAUUUAAAAAUUCCCCCAACUUUCUAUAACCCUUAACUUUGUACUGAAUAAUUUUAUAUUAAUAUAAAAACUUUUAUGUUAGAACUAGUAACAAGAAGCAGCCCUUCUCCAAAAUGUAAGUUUAAGCCAAAAUGAACAACUCAUUGGCAAUUAAAGUCAUUAAACCUCUAGUAGUAACCCCCUCAAGAAAAAUCUACUAUAUUUCAACGUUAAUCUUACACUAGAACAUUUCUGGAAAGAUAAAAAGAAUGGGAAGGAACUCGGCAAACAACUUAACCCCGCCUGUUUACCAAAAACAUCGCCUCUUGAUAACCCAUAAGAGGUCCAGCCUGCCCAGUGACAAAGUUAAACGGCCGCGGUACCCUAACCGUGCAAAGGUAGCGCAAUCACUUGUUCUUUAAAUGAGGACCGGUAUGAACGGCAUCACGAGGGUUAUACUGUCUCCCCACUCAACUCAGUGAAACUGAUCUUCCCGUGAAGAAGCGGGAAUAAAAAUAUAAGACGAGAAGACCCCAUGGAGCUUAAAACUCAGAAUCAACUGCCACAUUUACAACCUCAUAACCACGCAGCCAUGACCUCUAGUUUUCGGUUGGGGUGACCGCGGAGUAAAACACAACCUCCAUGAUGAAAGGAACUAAUACCCUAAUCUAAGGGCGACAGCCCUAAGAAUUAAUACAUUAACCCAAUUGAUCCAAUAACUUGAUCAACGAACCAAGUUACCCUGGGGAUAACAGCGCAAUCCAUUUCAAGAGCUCAUAUCGACAAAUGGGUUUACGACCUCGAUGUUGGAUCAGGAUAUCCCAGUGGCGCAGCCGCUACUAACGGUUC
rnacentral:rRNA from 1 species